GUUCAGAAUGAUGAUAUCCCAAGGAGCCUACGAUGGAACAAGCAAGAACACAGCUGUUUGUCACAUGUCAAUACGGAAAAGACAAUGACCCGUUCCAUGGUCUCGCUCAACGUGGUGUCAUUAGAACGAAGCUCCUAAAUCGAGCAAUAAAUCAUCGGAUCGGUCGGAAGUAAAAUAUAUAGUGAAAUAUGAGCACGACUGCCCACGCUCUUUGCCACUCGUGUCUCUUCCUCGUCAACAAAUGUUUCGAUGACACGUCGUUAGGCGAUCGAUAAACAAAGUUUACGUAAGAAUGCGAGAGAUGCGGAAAUGAGCACCUUGAAGGACGAAGACGUGAAGAGAAAAGAAGGACAGGCAAGAAAAAGAGAAACGGAAGUUGGUCGCAUUGAAUCCGGCAGCAACUAAGUACGUAGGAACAUAUAUCCUCUGCAUGAAGAGAGCUGGCAGUUUGUGCGAGGCGUUUGAUGUGACAUAUCACAUGACCGGAUGCGGGGGUAGGUAAAUUGGUCGGCAAUUGCUGACGCCACCAGAGCUGCAACCUAUCGGCCAGUCACUCGGUCGCUCAUCAACCUUGUUCACCUGUUAAUGAUUCUUGUUGCUGGAACUCUCGCCUAUCUCGGCCGAAAUCUUAGAAAUCGUCCGCGUCAACAUAAAACGCGCUACGUCAUCUCCCGCAAUUUCAGGGAAUGCAUGAUGAUGAAUCGUUCAUCAUAAUGUUGAUGAAUCGACCUAUC